AGAGUUUGAUCCUGGCUCAGAAUGAACGCUGGCGGCGUGCCUAACACAUGCAAGUCGGAUGUGCCCGCAAGGGUGCAUGGCAGACGGGUGAGUAACGCGUGGGGAAUCUACCUCUUUGUGGGGAAUAACGCUCCGAAAGGAGUGGUAAUACCGCAUGAGAUCCAUGGCUGGAAUGUUGUGGAUGAAACCUGGGGGCCUUCGGGCCUGGGGCAAGGAGAGGAUCCUGCGUCUGAUUAGCUAGUUGGUGAGGUAACGGCCCACCAAGGCAACGAUCAGUAGCCGGCCUGAGAGGGUGAUCGGCCACACUGGAACUGAGACACGGUCCAGACUCCUACGGGAGGCAGCAGUGGGGAAUUUUGCGCAAUGGGCGAACUCCUCUUUUUUAAGGGUCAACGCCGCGUGGGUG
rnacentral:rRNA from 1 species